UACAGAGGGGGCAAGCGUUGUCCGGAAUCAUUGGGCGUAAAGAGCGUGUAGGCGGCCCGAUAAGUCCGCUGUGAAAGUCCAGGGCUCAACCCUGGAAUGCCGGUGGAUACUGUCGGGCUCGAGUUCGGAAGAGGUGAGUGGAAUUCCUGGUGUAGCGGUGAAAUGCGCAGAUAUCAGGAGGAACACCAAUAGCGAAGGCAGCUCGCUGGGACGGUACUGACGCUAAGGCGCGAAAGCGUGGGGAGCGAACAGG
rnacentral:rRNA from 1 species